rnacentral:sRNA from 1 species
GCUACUAUAGACAAAUAUAUAAGUGAAUGGGUGUGGCUGUGUUUCAAUAAAACUUUAUGUACAGGAGCAGAUGCCUGGCCUAUGGAGCCAUAGUCAGCUGAACACGGUUCUAGACUUUACUCUUGGUGUUUAUUACUUUGGGCAACUUAACUUGUCUGAGCUUUUACAUCCUCCUUUGUAAAAUGAGAAUAAUCCCUUUCCACCUACUGUGAGAAACAAAUGAAAUCCCAUAAUGGAUGUCUAUGAAAGCACCUAUUGGAAAUAGGCUGCCGUACAGAUGAAGGGAGGUAUUAUCUUCUGUGCUCUGGGAAGAAUGCUUGUUCCUUAGGAGGCUUGCUGAGAUCCUGGGGCUCUGCCAAGUCACUUCUCCAGCAUAUUUCCAUUUGUGAUUCCCCCUCAGAUCCUGGGCUUUUCCACCCCUCCAGGCCGGCUCUCCAUGAUGUCCUUCAUCCUCAACGCCCUCACCUGUGCCCUGGGCUUGCUGUACUUCAUCCGGCGAGGAAAGCAGUGUCUGGAUUUCACUGUCACUGUCCAUUUCUUUCACCUCCUGGGCUGCUGGUUCUACAGCUCCCGUUUCCCCUCGGCGCUGACCUGGUGGCUGGUCCAAGCCGUGUGCAUUGCACUCAUGGCUGUCAUCGGGGAGUACCUGUGCAUGCGGACGGAGCUCAAGGAGAUACCCCUCAACUCAGCCCCUAAAUCCAAUGUCUAGAAUCAGGCCCUUUGGACAUCCUGCUGACACUUGGGCCCCUUAACACCUUGGGCUGCUCAGACCCUCCAGAUGAGGUCCAGCCCAGAUCUGAGAGGAACCCUGGAAAUGUGAAGUCUCUGUUGGUGUGGGAGAGAUAGUGAGGGCCUGUCAAAGAAGGCAGGUAGCAGUCAGCAUGACAGCUACAAGAAUGGCCUCUGUCUGCUGAAGCCUUGGUAUCUGAGAGGUCAGGAAGGGGACCUCUUUGAGGGUAAUAACAGAAUUGGAACCAUGCCACUCUUGAGCCACAAUACCUGUCACCAGCCUGUUGUUUUAA